rnacentral:lncRNA from 1 species
GCGGCGGAGAACGCCACCAAGGUGGCCGCGCCCGCGGCGGAGCAGGCCAAGAAGAGGGUCGCGCUCGGGAACAUCACUAACCAGUGCAAUGUGGGGAGGGGCGCGCCUCGGAUCGCCGGAUCGGCGAAAGGGACCAAUGUGGGUAAAUUUUUUGGUGCAUUCUUUGUUGAUCCCCCGUGCAUUUCUUUUACGAUCUGUUUGCGUUUGAAAGAUGGUGGUAAGGAGUACUCAUCGGGAGGCGGAGCGGCAUCUAGGAGGCAGCAAAUAAUUUAUUUGUGUUGAAGAGGCGGAGCAGCAUCUAGGGGGCAGCAAAUAAUUUAUUUGUGUUGAAGAGGCGGAGCGGCAUCUAGGGGGCAGCAAAUAAUUUAUUUGUGUUGAAGAUGGAAUGAGAUUAAUUGAACGGUUUGGAAGAUGAAGGGUUGAAGAAGAGUCGGAGCGGCAUCUUGGCGGCGGUUGAAGAUGGAAUGACAUUAAUUGAACCGUUUGGAAGAUGAAAGGUUGAAGAUGGAAUGGGAUUAAUCGAACCGUUUGGAAGAUGAAGGGUUGAAGAUGGAAUGAGAUUAAUCAAACCGUUUGGAAGAUGAAUCGAUACUUUGAACCGAUUAAUUGGGAACUUAAAUGAGAUGAGGUUGAGAAAAAAACAUUGCCAUAUGCCGCCACGUGGACAAAACACAUGAGGUUUCAUGAGAGUUUAUAGAUAUUCUUCACACCCAUUUUCUCUCGACAAAAUGUGAAUUCUCCAAUGGUAGAGGCUAUUGGACAUAUGUUCUAAUGCUAAGGUCGAACACGAACCCUUCUCAUGUUUCUUUGAUUAUCGACUGAAUCUGCCCAAUCACUAUCAAAACAAUAAAAAAAAAUCGUUUAUAUCACAGUCCGUGGUCUCUUAUGCCUUUCAGGUUUCUCAUUAUCUUUUUCGCCUUCUAUAUCAAUAUAAACCCAAUAACUUCUUUUCUUUUUUUAUAGACAAUUCAAUAAGCUUGCAAGAAUUAUUUUCC